rnacentral:lncRNA from 1 species
AAAUACUCAAAAUAAUAUUUGACCAAAUAUCUGGGGUCCUCAUGGCCCAGUCAAGAGGAUACAUAACAUUAAACACCACAAUGGCAUAUUCAUCCAUUCUCCUAUUGAUGGGAAUUUGCUUAUUUCCAGGAUUUUGCUGCUAUAACAUUCUAGUACCUGAAUCCUAGAAAAUAUCCAGGAUCACAGUUGCUUUAGUGGAAGCAUGGAGCUAUUUUUAUUAAACGAUGGAAUGUUAUUACCAUCUGUAAGUCUGCAGUCCUAUAUUCCACCACAGUCUGACCUAAUUCUGCCAGAAUCUGGAGCACGGCAGAACCUGAGAGUGGUCGACGGGACCAGCAGGAUGAGAAGUUGUCUCAAAAUCCUUCUCUCUCAAGAAACCUUCCCUGAGUAA